GUGUCAGCAGCCGCGGUAAUACAGAGGGUGCAAGCGUUAAUCGGAGUUACUGGGCGUAAAGGGCGCGUAGGCGGAUUUCUAAGUCAGAUGUGAAAUACCCGAGCUUAACUUGGGGGAGUCGUCUGAUACUGGGAGUCUAGAGUAUUGGAGAGGGAAGUGGAAUUUCCGGUGUAGCGGUGAAAUGCGUAGAUAUCGGAAGGAACACCCGUGGCGAAGGCGACUUCCUGGCCAAAUACUGACGCUGAGGCGCGAAAGCGUGGGGAGCAAACAGGAUUAGAUACCCCUGUAGUCC
rnacentral:rRNA from 1 species